rnacentral:rRNA from 1 species
UACGUAGGGUGCAAGCGUUAAUCGGAAUUACUGGGCGUAAAGCGUGCGCAGGCGGUUAUAUAAGAAAGAUGUGAAAACCCCGGGCUCAACCUGGGAACUGCAUUUGUGACUGUAUAGCUAAAGUACGGUAGAGGGGGGUGGGAUUCCGCGUGUAGCAGUGAAAUGCGUAGAAAUGCGGAGGAACACCGAUGGCGAAGGCAAUCCCCUGGAACUGUACUGACGCUCAUGCACGAAAGCGUGGGGAGCAAACAGGAUUAGAUACCCUGGUAGUCCACGCCCUAAACGAUGUCAACUGGUUGUUGGGUCUUAACUGACUCAGUAACGAAGCUAACGCGUGAAGUUGACCGCCUGGGGAGUACGGCCGCAAGGUUG